rnacentral:rRNA from 1 species
UCUCUCUCAGGGGGAACCUGCGGAGGGAUCAUUACCGAGUUUACAACUCCCAAACCCAAUGUGAACCAUACCAAACUGUUGCCUCGGCGGGGUCACGCCCCGGGCGCGUCGCAGCCCCGGAACCAGGCGCCCGCCGGAGGGACCAACCAAACUCUUUUCUGUAGUCCCCUCGCGGACGUUAUUUCUUACAGCUCUGAGCAAAAAUUCAAAAUGAAUCAAAACUUUCAACAACGGAUCUCUUGGUUCUGGCAUCGAUGAAGAACGCAGCGAAAUGCGAUAAGUAAUGUGAAUUGCAGAAUUCAGUGAAUCAUCGAAUCUUUGAACGCACAUUGCGCCCGCCAGUAUUCUGGCGGGCAUGCCUGUCCGAGCGUCAUUUCAACCCUCGAACCCCUCCGGGGGGUCGGCGUUGGGGACCUCGGGAGCCCCUAAGACGGGAUCCCGGCCCCGAAAUACAGUGGCGGUCUCGCCGCAGCCUCUCCUGCGCAGUAGUUUGCACAACUCGCACCGGGAGCGCGGCGCGUCCACGUCCGUAAAACACCCAACUUCUGAAAUGUUGACCUCGGAUCAGGUAGGAAUACCCGCUGAACUUAAGCAUAUCAAAAAGCCGGAGAAAA